GUUUUCUCCAGGUUAUUUUGAAUGGAUAGCUUUGUCGCUGAUAAGCUAACUGACUGGCGGCUGUCUGAGCUGACAGAGAAUUUUAGAGGCCAUCCACAAACAUAAAAGAGGCCCUGGCGCUAUCAUUGGUUCAGACAUUCCCUGAAUGAUGGAUCAGAAAUUGGCUAUUUCCAGAGACUCCAGAAUGAAAACCAAGCUCUGAGGGAGGAGAACCACACCCUGAGGGAAAGCAAUGCACGAGCAGCUUCGGAUGACAGCGGCUCACUUCAAGAGCAGGUGAAGCAAGUUGGGACAAUGUUGAAGACGUUUGCUUGCACUUGGCAAUCAGGUGCAGAUCAGACCAUAAUGCUGCGACGUCUUGGAGAGUUUGGCAAUGUUGUGCGUAGCAUGGACAACAAAAUGGAAACUAUGCAGCAACAUUUCAGUGCCAAUGUGUCUGUUGGAGAGCCACUGAUGAGGCGGUCCAGGUUAACGUUACGCGUUACCUGAAAGCAUCUGACCGUGAAGGCGGAAAAAGGCGCCGCACAGCUGAGAGGGACCCACAGCCGACCCCUUAAACCUAGGCUGACUACUGACACCCCCGCAUCACUGACAACUGGAACACUUUCUUUAUCCUGCAGUCAGUAACAUCAAGAAGCCAGAAGUGCCAGACUACACUCACCCAAUCCACACUAUUCUCUGUGGAAAUUAUUCUUUCUUCUUCUUUUUUUUUUUAUUCCCCAUGACCCUGCCUUGAGGGCAGCGCCUUGGAUGGAUAUGGGAUGGUGAGGUUGUUUGUCCUUUAUACAGGCGCACGAGGGAUCACUGAAGAUAUGCCCAUUUUGCGCUGCCUCAUUCUGGAGAUCCCGUAGUCAGGCUUGAAAGACUGAUUAUCAUUACUUAGACUGUCCCGCAAUUCUUAGCCCACUACCCCACGCAGACCCCAACCAUUCCACACGUUCUGAUUGGCUGUGUUCUCUACAGCCAGAUUUCCUGCUGUUAAUUGUGUUUGUUCCCACUUGUUGUCAUGUGUAAAUUUAAUGUCAAAAUGUAUAUUACCUGGUAUCCUGCACAUUCUUUGAUACCAAAGAUCUCAAUUACUUCCUAUACAAUUUGCUGCUUAUUUCAUUGUUACAGUGCUUAACUAUUCUAUUUAUAAAUAUAGCUUGUAAAUCCUAGAUUAUACCUCUAAUACUUGAUAUCUGCUCAUUAUCUGUUCUG